ACGUGCACAUUGCAGUUUGAGAGCCUCGGCAAUGUCGGGUAAUUUCAUGUAAUGGAGGCGGGCGUUCUUAACCUAAGCUCCCCUCCCCAUUAACAUGUUCUGUGAGGGGCUAUUUCAGCACCACGGCACCAUGAACAGAACAAACAAGUACACACCGAAACACAACUUAAAACAGGUAUGUGAGAACUAACGAGUGGAUAAUGGUGGGCCACUGAUGGGGCUACCUCCAUUAUGACGGGUGUAUGUAAUGGAAGGCUGUCUGUCUUAUGUUUGAGCAGGACUUUUUACUGGAGAUUGAGGUACCAUGGAGGAUGUGUUCCCAUUUGUUUGUACUUCUGUCAUGUUAUGAUCUACUUAGCAGGGAUGUUGCAUCAGAAAGAGUGGAGGAAAUUACGAGAUGACCACUACAUAUGUGAUAUCAACACAACUCGACAUAACCGACAUUGCAACAUGUACUGAACAUAUUAAUCUGGUUUGGCAUUUUCCCACUACACCACCUGGUGCUUAUCCUCAUGAGGGACACGAGAGUGCUGGAGCCAAUCCCAGCUGUCAUUGGGCAGGAGGCGUGGUACACCCUGAACUGGUUGCCAGCCAAUCGCAGGGCACAUGGAGACAGACAACAGUCGCACUCACAAACACACCUGGGGGCCAUUUAGUGUCUCCAAUGAAUGCAUGUCUUUGGGAUGUGGGAGGAAACCGGAGUGCCCGGAGAAAACCCACACAGACACGGGGAGAACAUGCAAACUCCACACAGGUGGGGGCGGGAUUUGAAUCCCAGUCCUCAGAACUGUGAGCCUCAUUUAUUUUGCUACGCCCGCCUCUACUUCCUCCCCUGUGAGAGCUGACUCCCAACCAUCUUCUGGCUGCCAUCAUUCACAAAUAAGGUGGACCACAGAGCUGGAAUCCUUGC